GACGAACGCUGGCGGCGUGCCUAAUACAUGCAAGUAGAACGCAGUUGCGAACGGGUGAGUAACGCGUAGGUAAAUGCCUCAUAGCGGGGGAUAACUAUUGGAAACGAUAGCUAAUACCGCAUACUGUGAGAUGGACCUGCGUUGUAUUAGCUAGUUGGUGAGGUAAAGGCUCACCAAGGCGACGAUACAUAGCCGAGCCGGGAGGGUGAACGGCCAACAUUGGACUGUGGAAACGGCCAGAAUCCUACGGGAGGGCACAGUAGGGGAUCUUCGGCAAUGGACGGAAGUCUGACCGAGCAACGCCGCGUGGGAGAAGAAGGUUUUCGGAUCGUAAAACUCUGUUGUUAGGGAAGCGGUAACUAACGAGAAAGGGACGGCUAACUACGUGCCAGCAGCCGCGGUAAUUC
rnacentral:rRNA from 1 species